GGUGUUGAAGGAUUAGAAACAUCUGAUCAUUUAAAGUGGAUGACAGGAUCUCGCGAAGUGCCACCACUUGGCUUUCCAAAGAGGUUUGAGAAUCAAUUUGUCCAUGCCUGCAACCAGGGCUGUAGAUGCAGGCCAACAGUGUCAACUUGCGAUAUGUCCAUUAAGAUGCCCGUCCAUAUCAGCACAAUUGACACAAUGAAGGAAAUGCUCCAUUCUGCAGUGAAGGACUCUCAUGGUUUUGGAAACCUUUAAGAGUGUAU